AAAAAUAAUCACCAUGUGUAGUGAUAAUAUGUUGUGGUAGUUCAUGUAGUCAUAUUCGUUGUUAUUUGUUAUUGCAAAAUACCUUUUUUGACAAUAAUAUCUUCGUACAUAUCAAUUACAAACAUUCAGAAUAAUAUAAUACAAAAUGCAAGCUCCAAACAUGGCUACAACUUAAUUAUCAAGAACAUACAUUUUUUGCAUUAAAAAAUUAAUAAUAAAAACAAUUCUUCAAAGAGCCAGCUAACAUCAGUCAUUCCAACUAAAAAAUCCAUGAACAACAGAUAAAAAAAAUACAGUUUUGUAUUAAAAAUAUAAUAACAUGCAUUUUUUUGCAUAAAUAAUCCAUCAACG
rnacentral:lncRNA from 1 species